AUUUAACGAAAGUGGCGAACGGGUGAGUAACACGUGAGCAACCUGCCUUACACAGGGGAUAGCCAUUGGAAACGGUGAUUAAUACCCAUAAGACCACAAUACCGCAUGGUAAAAGGGUAAAAAGGGAUACUGGUGUAAGAUGGGCUCGCGUCUGAUUAGCUAGUUGGUGGGGUAAAGGCCUACCAAGGCGACGAUCAGUAGCCGGUCUGAGAGGAUGAACGGCCACAUUGGAACUGAGACACGGUCCAAACUCCUACGGGAGGCAGCAGCU
rnacentral:rRNA from 1 species